UACCAGCACCCCGAGUGGUCGGGACGAUUAUUGGGCCUAAAGCAUCCGUAGCCGGUUUUACAAGUCCUCCGUUAAAUCCAGCUGCUUAACAGAUGGGCUGCGGAGGAUACUAUAAGACUAGGAGGCAGGAGAGGCAAGCGGUACUCAGUGGGUAGGGGUAAAAUCCGUUGAUCCAUUGAAGACCACCCGUGGCGAAGGCGGCUC
rnacentral:rRNA from 1 species